rnacentral:tRNA from 1 species
GGAGGGUUGGCAGAAUGGCUAUUGCGCGGCUCCCGAAAAGCCGUGGGAUUAUUCCCUUGCAGGUUCGAGUCCUGCACCCUCCG